rnacentral:tRNA from 1 species
GAGAGUAUAGCUAAGUGGUAGAGCUCAUGCUUAGCAUGCAUGAGGUCCUGGGUUCAGUCUCCAGUACCAUCA